rnacentral:rRNA from 1 species
CAGGUUUACCUGUGUGACUGCGUACCUUUUGUAUAAUGGGUCAGCGACUUAUAUUCUGUAGCAAGGUUAACCGAAUAGGGGAGCCGGAGGGAAACCGAGUCUUAAUUGGGCGUUAAGUUGCAGGGUAUAGACCCGAAACCCGGUGAUCUAGCCAUGGGCAGGUUGAAGGUUGGGUAACACUAACUGGAGGACCGAACCGACUAAUGUUGAAAAAUUAGCGGAUGACCUGUGGCUGGGGGUGAAAGGCCAAUCAAACCGGGAGAUAGCUGGUUCUCCCCGAAAGCUAUUUAGGUAGCGCCUCGUGAAUUCAUCUCCGGGGGUAGAGCACUGUUUCGGCUAGGGGGCCAUCCCGGCUUACCAACCCGAUGCAAACUGCGAAUACCGGAGAAUGUUAUCACGGGAGACACACGGCGGGUGCUAACGUCCGUCGUGAAGAGGGAAACAACCCAGACCGCCAGCUAAGGUCCCAAAGUCAUGGUUAAGUGGGAAACGAUGUGGGAAGGCCCAGACAGCCAGGAUGUUGGCUUAGAAGCAGCCAUCAUUUAAAGAAAGCGUAAUAGCUCACUGGUCGAGUCGGCCUGCGCGGAAGAUGUAACGGGGCUAAACCAUGCACCGAAGCUGCGGCAGCGAACGUAUCACCCAAGACAACUUUACGGAGUUGACGAUUGACGGAGCGAAGCGACGUCAAAGCGUUCAUUAAAGUCGAGUUGGCUUAGGGAUACGUUCGUUGGGUAGGGGAGCGUUCUGUAAGCCUGUGAAGGUGUGUCGUGAGGCAUGCUGGAGGUAUCAGAAGUGCGAAUGCUGACAUAAGUAACGAUAAAGCGGGUGAAAAGCCCGCUCGCCGGAAGACCAAGGGUUCCUGUCCAACGUUAAUCGGGGCAGGGUGAGUCGACCCCUAAGGCGAGGCCGAAAGGCGUAGUCGAUGGGAAACGGGUUAAUAUUCCCGUACUUGGUGUUACUGCGAAGGGGGGACGGAGAAGGCUAUGUUGGCCGGGCGACGGUUGUCCCGGUUUAAGCGUGUAGGUGUGUGUUCCAGGUAAAUCCGGUUCACUUUAACACUGAGGCGUGACGACGAGGCACUACGGUGCUGAAGCAACAAAUGCCCUGCUUCCAGGAAAAGCCUCUAAGCAUCAGGUAACACGAAAUCGUACCCCAAACCGACACAGGUGGUCAGGUAGAGAAUACCAAGGCGCUUGAGAGAACUCGGGUGAAGGAACUAGGCAAAAUGGUGCCGUAACUUCGGGAGAAGGCACGCUGACACGUAGGUGAAGUGAUUUACUCAUGGAGCUGAAGUCAGUCGAAGAUACCAGCUGGCUGCAACUGUUUAUUAAAAACACAGCACUGUGCAAACACGAAAGUGGACGUAUACGGUGUGACGCCUGCCCGGUGCCGGAAGGUUAAUUGAUGGGGUCAGCGCAAGCGAAGCUCCUGAUCGAAGCCCCGGUAAACGGCGGCCGUAACUAUAACGGUCCUAAGGUAGCGAAAUUCCUUGUCGGGUAAGUUCCGACCUGCACGAAUGGCGUAAUGAUGGCCAGGCUGUCUCCACCCGAGACUCAGUGAAAUUGAACUCGCUGUGAAGAUGCAGUGUACCCGCGGCAAGACGGAAAGACCCCGUGAACCUUUACUAUAGCUUGACACUGAACAUUGAGCCUUGAUGUGUAGGAUAGGUGGGAGGCUUUGAAGUGUGGACGCCAGUCUGCAUGGAGCCGACCUUGAAAUACCACCCUUUAAUGUUUGAUGUUCUAACGUGGACCCGUAAUCCGGGUUGCGGACAGUGUCUGGUGGGUAGUUUGACUGGGGCGGUCUCCUCCUAAAGAGUAACGGAGGAGCACGAAGGUUGGCUAAUCCUGGUCGGACAUCAGGAGGUUAGUGCAAUGGCAUAAGCCAGCUUGACUGCGAGCGUGACGGCGCGAGCAGGUGCGAAAGCAGGUCAUAGUGAUCCGGUGGUUCUGAAUGGAAGGGCCAUCGCUCAACGGAUAAAAGGUACUCCGGGGAUAACAGGCUGAUACCGCCCAAGAGUUCAUAUCGACGGCGGUGUUUGGCACCUCGAUGUCGGCUCAUCACAUCCUGGGGCUGAAGUAGGUCCCAAGGGUAUGGCUGUUCGCCAUUUAAAGUGGUACGCGAGCUGGGUUUAGAACGUCGUGAGACAGUUCGGUCCCUAUCUGCCGUGGGCGCUGGAGAACUGAGGGGGGCUGCUCCUAGUACGAGAGGACCGGAGUGGACGCAUCACUGGUGUUCGGGUUGUCAUGCCAAUGGCACUGCCCGGUAGCUAAAUGCGGAAGAGAUAAGUGCUGAAAGCAUCUAAGCACGAAACUUGCCCCGAGAUGAGUUCUCCCUGAGACUUAGAGUCUCCUGAAGGAACGUUGAAGACGACGACGUUGAUAGGCCGGGUGUGUAAGCGCAGCGAUGCGUUGAGCUAACCGGUACUAAUGAACCGUGAGGCUUAACCUUACAACGCCGAAG